UACGGGAGGCAGCAGUGAGGAAUAUUGGUCAAUGGACGAGAGUCUGAACCAGCCAAGUAGCGUGCAGGAAGACGGCCCUAUGGGUUGUAAACUGCUUUUAUAAGGGAAUAAAGUGAGAGUCGUGACUCUUUUUGCAUGUACCUUAUGAAUAAGGACCGGCUAAUUCCGUGCCAGCAGCCGCGGUAAUACGGAAGGUCCGGGCGUUAUCCGGAUUUAUUGGGUUUAAAGGGAGCGUAGGCCGGAGAUUAAGCGUGUUGUGAAAUGUAGAUGCUCAACAUCUGAACUGCAGCGCGAACUGGUUUCCUUGAGUACGCACAAAGUGGGCGGAAUUCGUGGUGUAGCGGUGAAAUGCUUAGAUAUCACGAAGAACUCCGAUUGCGAAGGCAGCUCACUGGAGCGCAACUGACGCUGAAGCUCGAAAGUGCGGGUAUCGAACAGGAUUAGAUACCCUGGUAGUCCGCACGG
rnacentral:rRNA from 1 species